UACGAGGGGGGCGAGCGUUUGUUCGGAAUUAUUGGGCGUAAAGAGCGCGCAGGCGGUCUGCCAAGUCAGAUGUGAAAGAGGCCGGCUUAACCGGCAAGGGUCAUUUGAAACUGACAGACUAGAGUGCAGCAGAGGAUAGCGGAAUUCCCGGUGUAGUGGUGAAAUGCGUAGAUAUCGGGAGGAACACCAGUGGCGAAGGCGACUCACUGGACACGUAUUGACGCUGAGGUGCGAAAGCGUGGGGAGCAAACAGGG
rnacentral:rRNA from 1 species